GGUUCUCGAGGUCGAUCGGCGGCGCGGCAUCCGGCCUUGGCGAGGCUGGCGAGUCUGUUCGUGGCGGUCGUGCACCU
rnacentral:tRNA from 1 species